rnacentral:rRNA from 1 species
GAACGAGAAAGCGUCCUUCGGGGCGCAAGCUAAAGUGGCGCACGGGUGAGUAACUCGUGGGUAACCUACCCUUUGGCGCGGGACAACAGCUCGAAAGGGCUGCUAAUACCGCAUAAGUCGGUGACGGCAUAAGCUGUUACCGGGAAAGGAUGGCCUCUCCUUGGAAGCUAUCGCCGGAGGAUGGGCCCGCGUCCCAUCAGUUUGUUGGUGAGGUAACGGCUCACCAAGGCUAAGACGGGUAGCUGGUCUGAGAGGAUGAUCAGCCACACUGGGACUGAGACACGGCCCAGACUCCUACGGGAGGCAGCAGUGGGGAAUAUUGGACAAUGGGCGAAAGCCUGAUCCAGCCACGCCGCGUGUGUGAUGAAGGUCUUCGGAUCGUAAAGCACUGUGGAGAGGGACGAAAAGCAGUGGGAACAAUACCCCUCUGUUCUGACGGUACCUCUUUAGCAAGCACCGGCUAACUCCGUGCCAGCAGCCGCGGUAAUACGGAGGGUGCAAACGUUGCUCGGAAUUAUUGGGCGUAAAGCGCGUGUAGGCGGCUAUGUAAGUCGAGUGUGAAAGCCCUGGGCUCAACCCAGGAAGUGCGCUCGAAACUGCAUAGCUAGAGUACGGGAGAGGGUAGCGGAAUUCCCGGUGUAGAGGUGAAAUUCGUAGAUAUCGGGAGGAACACCAGUGGCGAAGGCGGCUACCUGGACCGAUACUGACGCUGAGACGCGAAAGCGUGGGUAGCAAACAGGAUUAGAUACCCUGGUAGUCCACGCCGUAAACGAUGAGUGCUAGGUGUCGCGGGUAUUGACCCCUGCGGUGCCGAAGU